CCUACGGGGGGCAGCAGUGGGGGAUAUUGCACAAUGGGGGAAACCCUGAUGCAGCGACGCCGCGUGGGCGAAGAAGUAUUUCGGUAUGUAAAGCCCUAUCAGCAGGGAAGAAGAAAUGACGGUACCUGAGUAAGAAGCACCGGCUAAAUACGUGCCAGCAGCCGCGGUAAUACGUAUGGUGCAAGCGUUAUCCGGAUUUACUGGGUGUAAAGGGAGCGCAGGCGGCACGGCAAGCCUGAUGGGAAAGCCCGCGGCCCAACCGCGGGACUGCAUUGGGAACUACCGGGCUGGAGUGCCGGAGAGGUAGGCGGAAUUCCUAGUGUAGCGGUGAAAUGCGUAGAUAUUAGGAGGAACACCAGUGGCGAAGGCGGCUUACUGGACGGUGACUGACGCUGAGGCUCGAAAGCGUGGGGAGCAAACAGGAUUAGAUACCCCUGUAGUC
rnacentral:rRNA from 1 species